UGGGGAAUAUUGCGCAAUGGGGGGAACCCUGACGCGGCCAUGCCGCGUGAAUGAAGAAGGCCUUCGGGUUGUAAAGUUCUUUCGGUAUUGAGGAAGGUUGAUGUGUUAAUAGCACAUCAAAUUGACGUUAAAUACAGAAGAAGCACCGGCUAACUCCGUGCCAGCAGCCGCGGUAAUACGGAGGGUGCGAGCGUUAAUCGGAAUAACUGGGCGUAAAGGGCACGCAGGCGGUUAUUUAAGUGAGGUGUGAAAGCCCCGGGCUUAACCUGGGAGUUGCAUUUCAGACUGGGUAACUAGAGUACUUUAGGGAGGGGUAGAAUUCCACGUGUAGCGGUGAAAUGCGUAGAGAUGUGGAGGAAUACCGAAGGCGAAGGCAGCCCCUUGGGAAUGUACUGACGCUCAUGUGCGAAAGCGUGGGGAGCAAACAGGAUUAGAUACCCUGGUAGUCCACGCUGUAAACGCUGUCGAUUUGGGGGUUGGGGUUUAACUCUGGCGCCCGUAGCUAACGUGAUAAAUCGACCGCCUGGGGAGUACGGCCGCAAGGUUA
rnacentral:rRNA from 1 species